GUUGUAGCUCAGUGGUAGAGGGCUUGCCUAGCAUGUGUGAGGCACUGGGUUUGAUCCUCAGCACCACA
rnacentral:tRNA from 1 species